UACGUAGGGGGCUAGCGUUGUCCGGAUUUAUUGGGCGUAAAGAGCGUGUAGGCGGCCAGGUAGGUCUGCUGUGAAAACUCGAGGCUCAACCUCGAGAUGUCGGCGGAAACCAUCUGGCUAGAGUCCGGAAGAGGAAAGUGGAAUUCCUGGUGUAGCGGUGAAAUGCGCAGAUAUCAGGAAGAACACCCGUGGCGAAGGCGGCUUUCUGGGACGGUACUGACGCUGAGGCGCGAAAGCUAGGGUAGCAAACGGG
rnacentral:rRNA from 1 species